rnacentral:lncRNA from 1 species
GUUAAGGUAAAGGCUACUCUUUUGAGAGAUGGCGUCGAUUAUAGAAAUAGCUUUAAAACUUUUGAAGCUGACGUAAUAUUGUACCGACAUACUAGGCGUGAGGCCCACUGUUUUGCGUAAAUUGCAAUUAAACGUGUUUUUAAUCUUCAAAACGACGACAUUCAAGGCUGGCUUUUUGGACGUCAACGAUCCAGUUCUAGGAGGAUUUGCCUUAAACAUUUUUGCCUUUGAUAACAAUUAAGUGAAUACUAUCUAUAAUAGAUUCCUUUUUUCCAUCAUUUUUCAAUAAUAGCGACAGUAGUCGGCCUUGCCAGGAUUAAUUAGGCGUCGUCUAGAGGACAAAUUUUGCUUUAAUAAUUCAGAAGAUAACUCCACAGGAAAUACUCAGUGUUACUCUAUGUUUUUGAUGAGGACACGAAACUACUCAAUACUUAUAUCAAUUCAUUUGUAUUCUCCCCUGAAGAAUGCAAGAAUAUUAAUAAGAGUUGAGAACUAAAAUUUAAUAUGUUAGGAUGAUUGAUGAGUACUUAAGUCAAAGAGCUCUCACUAAUAAAGACAAACCAAAUUUAUUUUAGCAUACCAGCGUUUAUAUUUUAUUCAAAUCUUAACAUAUACUGAAAAUGAAUUAUGAUAUAUGUACCUAUAUAAAAAAAUAAAUA